rnacentral:rRNA from 1 species
AUUGAACGCUGGCGGCAGGCCUAACACAUGCAAGUCGAGCGAGCGGCGGACGGGUGCGUAAUGUCUGGGAAACUGCCUGAUGGAGGGGGAUAACUACUGGCAACGGUAGCUAAUACCGCAUACCAUCAGAUGUGCCCAGAUUGGAUUAGCUAGUCGGUGGGGUAACGGCUCACCUAGGCGACGAUCCCUAGCUGGUCUGAGAGGAUGACCAGCCACACGGGAACUGAGACACGGUCCAGACGCCUACGGGAGGCAGCAGUGGGGAAUAUGGCACAAUGGGCGCAAGCCUGAUGCAGCCAUGCCGCGUGUGGGAAGAAGGCCUUCGGGUUGUAAAGCACUUUCAGCGGGGAGGCGUUACCCGAAGAAGAAGCACCGGCUAACUCCGUGCCAGCCGCCGCGGUAAUUC